UGAGGAACUUGCCCCGGAGACCGGGAUAACCCUCCGAAAGGAGAGCUAAUACCGGAUGUCCUCACCGAGUCGCAUGGCUUGGUGAGGAAAUGGAUUCCGCUCCAGGAGAGCCUCGCGGCCUAUCAGCUAGUUGGUGGGGUAACGGCCCACCAAGGCAUCGACGGGUAGCUGGUCUGAGAGGACGAUCAGCCACACUGGGACUGAGACACGGCCCAGACUCCUACGGGAGGNAG
rnacentral:rRNA from 1 species